GCCGGGGGCCCCCGAGCCCGCUGCCGGUGGCGGGGCGGUCGCGGGGCGUGAGGGGGAAGCAGCGUGUAACGGUCCCGGACAGCGGCGAAGUGCGGAGGCACCGCUAGGCGGAGGAGGGAGGCGGCGGCGAGGGAGGCUCCAGUGCUCGCCCGGAACCUUGUUGCCACGGGAGACGGGCGCUUUACGGCAGCGCGUUUGAACGGCGGCGGGGGAAAAGUUGCGCCCGCAGGGCUGAGCGAGAAGCAAACAGCUGGACCACAGUGACGCCGUUCCCACCGUACGUGGAAUCUGCCGCACUCGGGCUUUCCUUAGUCAUACUUCCCGGUUUUACCGAGAGGAGGAGAGGUAUAAAAUUCUGUGCCGUAACAAAUAAAAAGACGAGAGCAAAUUUUCACAGAUAAUUAAUAAGUAACCUCUGUUGUGCUUAAUAAACUUACUGAAUGUAUUAAAUAUUAAAACUGUCAAACACUUUGACUAUUGAUUUACUUCUGCUUUUCACUUCAGGCAAUAAAAUAAUUUAGUAAGUUUGCCUCUAGGCUUCCCUAUUUCUCUUUUUUUCCUUUAUCUUGUCAUGAUUCUGUAGAAUUUAUAGUUCUGUGCUUCUGGGAAAAUUUUAUCUAAAGAAAUUAAAUUUCAGUGAAAGCAUUUCUAUUAAUGAGAUACUUACAAUAAGAAAUUGAUGCACUACAGAACUUGAGGCCCUCAGCUGCUCUACAUUGUCACAUUCCACAUGCUAUAUAUGCACAUUGUGUAACAAGUCACCUCAUUUCAUGGAAGCAGCAUAACUAGGAAAUGAGCUAUUGAACACUGUCAGUUUAUGGGCAUACCUUGCAUCUGAAGCUCCCACAAAAGUCUGGAUAAUCAGAAGUUCUUAGAAAAUAAGUAUUGGGCUAAAAUGAAUGCAGAAUUAGGUAAAGAUCCAAAGGGAUAUUUUCCCAAUGAAUUACCCUCAAAACCCCCCAAGUCUUGGGUUUGGAUACUCACAUGAAAACAGUGGUUGCAGGUGCCAGUCAUUUGUCUGAUAGUUUUCAAAAAAAUUGUUAAGUUUAGGUGUAUUGUUUUUAUGUAUGUGUCUUUACUCAGUGAUGGUUGGUUGCUGACUUCACCAUUUUAAUAAGGAUCUACCUAAGGGUGACAAAAGAAGCAAAUCAAUCAGUACCAAGUGCUUGAUGGACUAACAGGAGUCAUUCAAAAGCAUUAGAUUUGGCAUCAGCUGGGAGUACAGAACCCCAAAUACAAGGAUGGCUCAGAACUGCAACAUGAAACCAACUAUAAGAUAAAACAGAAACUUAUCAGCUCAAAUUUCGAGUGAGGGAUUUACGAAUUUUAAGGCAGAGUUUUGUUUUUAGUUCAACAUCCUUGCUUGUGAAGUUUCUGUGCAGAACAUAAACUGUGGCUGUGAAACUGUUUGCAAAUGAGUGCUUAAGGUGUUGGAAUUGUUAGAUGUUUUUAUCAUUCUGUGGAUGAAUUUGAGGAUGAACCAAAAUAUGAUAUAAAGGUUUUCAUGCAAAGUUUUAAUUCCUUAAAUUUAGUCAUGUUUUUAGGAGUUAGUUGCAAAUAAUAAUUAAUAUCUGUAAACAUAUUUGUAGAUUUGUAAGAACAUUAUCCCGCCUGCCCACACAAAGUUCCAGGCCCUCUUUAAGAACCUUUGGAGAGCUUAUUUUUUUGAGUUUUGUCACUUUUCACUCCUGGAUAAGAAUUCUUGUCUCUUCCUUUUGAGCAAUUUAUGUUUCCUAACAAAAUGAGAAGAGAAACAGUCUCCUGGUGUUUGUUGUGCUGUUUUUGCAAUAGCCAUAGUGUCUGUUUGAACUUGAGUCUUCUGAGAUUUCCAAGCAGCUGGGAGAAACUGGUGACAACUCCUGCUGCCCAUUAGUUUCUGAAGAGCAGAACUGAAACUGGCAGGAACAUUGGUAGCUGUACACUGCUACAGUUUGGAUAAAUGAGAAGAGAAAACCAAAGCAACCUUUGUAUACAUUAACUUUGAGACCAAGGAGGUCUAGAAACUAAAAAAAAAUCAGAAUAAUGUUUUGCACCAAGUUAUUGAUUACUCCAAUCAUGAAUCAUUGUGAAAAGCAUCUCAUUCACAACUUGUAAAUAGAUAUGUAGAUAGGUUGGGGGGUUGGGGGUUGAUUUUUAAACUUUGUUGUAUUUAAUCCAAGCAACUUCCUACUUCACAUCUUUGUGUACAAAGUUCCCAUUAUUUACUGUGCUAAAUUAAGUAUGCAGCCACUGUAAAAGCAUUUUUACUUAAUACAUUCUUCUAAUCCUGGAUGCAGAGCAACCAGUUAAAAUUCCUAUUAUCUUUGUCAUGUUCUGCGAUACAUGAGCAUGUUGUAUAUGUAAUUUAAACUGGUUUAUGCUUCAAGAAUGGAAAAUCUGGUUUUCCAUUAUGGUGUACAGCUUUCCGUCUGACUUUUCAGUCAAGGAUGCAGGACUUAAUUAAUCAAUUGAUUAAUUUGCAAAAUCUUAGAGAAGAGGUAUAUUUCUGCAUCUUCCUAAAUGUGGCAGUCUUGAGAAGACAACUCUUUAAAGGAGGAAUUUUAAGACAGUGGCCAUCUAUAACAAUUUCUAGUACCAUAAUUUGUAUGGGAAUUUAGGCAAGCUAAAUAGGCAUAUUGUAGUUAAAACCUGAGAUUGCACAGCUUCUGUACUUCAUCUUCUUUGAAAUUUAUUUAAUUGUCUGAAGACAAGAAUUAAAAUACUUCCAUAGUCACACUUGUAUGAAAGUUCAAAAACCAGGUAAUGGUUCUUACAGACAGUUUUUCCCAUUUAAAAAAUGUUCCUGUAUGUUGUGUUAUGAUUUAUGAUCUCAUAAGUAUGUAUCAUUAAAUAAAAGCAAUCAGCCUUUAGUUUGUAUUCCUACUCCUUGUUGAUGCUUAUGAAGUGAAGUUUCAUGUAGGAUCUUGAGUAUUCUGGAUUUAAGGGUGUUCAUUUAGAUGAGAAUUACAGUGGAAAACAACUCAGUAUUGUUUCUUCUCUAUGGUUUCUUAUUUCAUUUCUGAUUUGUGGAGAUUUCUUCUUUUUUCUUUUUCUUUUUUUUUUCUUU